rnacentral:rRNA from 1 species
GUGCCAGCAGCCGCGGUAAUACGUAGGGUGCGAGCGUUAAUCGGAAUUACUGGGCGUAAAGCGUGCGCAGGCGGUUUGUUAAGAUAGGCGUGAAAUCCCCGGGCUCAACCUGGGAACUGCGUUUAUGACUGGCAGGCUAGAGUAUGGCAGAGGGGGGUGGAAUUCCACGUGUAGCAGUGAAAUGCGUAGAGAUGUGGAGGAACACCGAUGGCGAAGGCAGCCCCCUGGGCCAAUACUGACGCUCAUGCACGAAAGCGUGGGUAGCAAACAGGAUUAGAUACCCUGGUAGUCCACGCCCUAAACGAUGUCAACUAGGUGUUGGGUGGGUAAAACCAUUUAGUACCGGAGCUAACGCGUGAAGUUGACCGCCUGGGGAGUACGGCCGCAAGGUUAAAACUCAAAGGAAUUGACGGGGACCCGCACAAGCGGUGGAUGAUGUGGAUUAAUUCGAUGCAACGCGAAAAACCUUACCUACCCUUGACAUGUCCAGAAGCCCUUAGAGAUUUGGGUGUGCCCGAAAGGGAGCUGGAACACAGGUGCUGUAUGGCUGUCGUCAGCUCGUGUCGUGAGAUGUUGGGUUAAGUCCCGCAACGAGCGCAACCCUUGUCGUUAAUUGCCAUCAUUUAGUUGGGCACUUUAACGAGACUGCCGGUGACAAACCGGAGGAAGGUGGGGAUGACGUCAAGUCCUCAUGGCCCUUAUGGGUAGGGCUUCACACGUCAUACAAUGGUCGGUACAAAGGGUCGCCAACCCGCGAGGGGGAGCCAAUCCCAGAAAGCCGAUCGUAGUCCGGAUCGUAGGCUGCAACUCGCCUGCGUGAAGUCGGAAUCGCUAGUAAUCGUGGAUCAGCAUGUCACGGUGAAUACGUUCCCGGGUCUUGCACACACCGCCCGUC